rnacentral:rRNA from 1 species
AGAGUUUGAUCAUGGCUCAGAACGAACGCUGGCGGCGUGGAUAAGACAUGCAAGUCGAGCGCUGAUUACAGGGUAGCAAUAUUCUGUAGUUGGAGCGGCGCAAGGGUGCGUAACACGUGGGUAAUCUGCCAUGAAGUUUGGGAUAACUCGCUGAAAGGCGAGCUAAUACCGGAUGUGACGAUUGGAAGGCAUCUUCUGAUCUUCAAAGUUGGGGACCGUAAGGCCUGACGCUUCAUGAUGAGCCCGCGGCCUAUCAGCUAGUUGGUGAGGUAACGGCUCACCAAGGCUAAGACGGGUAGCUGGUCUGAGAGGACGACCAGCCACACUGGAACUGAGACACGGUCCAGACACCUACGGGUGGCAGCAGUCGAGAAUUUUUCACAAUGGGGGAAACCCUGAUGGAGCGACGCCGCGUGGGGGAUGAAUGGCUUCGGCCCGUAAACCCCUGUCAUUCGCGAACAAUGCCUGUGUAUUAACACCAUACAGGUUGAUAGUAGCGGAAGAGGAAGGGACGGCUAACUCUGUGCCAGCAGCCGCGGUAAUACAGAGGUCCCAAGCGUUGUUCGGAUUCACUGGGCGUAAAGGGUGCGUAGGCGGUCGGGUAAGUCUGAUGUGAAAGCUCUGGGCUUAACCCAGAAAUGGCAUUGGAUACUAUUCGGCUUGAGAGUUGGAGGGGGGACUGGAAUUCUCGGUGUAGCAGUGAAAUGCGUAGAUAUCGAGAGGAACACCAGUGGCGAAGGCGAGUCCCUGGACAACUUCUGACGCUGAGGCACGAAAGCUAGGGGAGCAAACAGGAUUAGAUACCCUAGUAGUCC